UUAUAUUAUCCCUUAAGCCCAAUGAAGAUAAUAAAUUUAAUUGAAUUUUCAUUUUAUUUUCUUUGGUACUGGGGCUCACACCCAAGGCCUUACACACAGUCUGGGUAAAUACUCUACCACUAAGUAGUAUCUAUAGUCCUAAAGCUUUCUUUCUGUCCUUCCCUUGGGUUGAUUCUAUUGCUUUUAACUUUGGUUCACUGAUAUUUUAUUUUUUCAGUAUUCAAUGUGCUGUUAAUCAGAUCCCCAAACAUGUUUAUUUCAGAUGUUAUAUUUUCAUAUGUAGAGCUUCCGUUUUGUGUCACCGUUUCUGUUUCAUUAUGUAUGUUUGCUUUAAAUAUUUGAUUAGUUAUAAUACCUGUUUUAAUAGCCUUAUCUUCUAAUUUUUCAUCAUUUCUAUAUCUGCAUCUAUAGAUUGACUAUUUAAUUUAUUUUUUUAUUAUUGAUCAGUUUCCUGCUUCUUGGCAGUGUUUAAUAACUUUUGAUAAAAGUAGAGGUAGUAAAUCAAACAUUUUGUAGAUUUUAAAGAAAACUUGUGAUUAGGUAUUUUGCACGCUAAAGUGUUUUGCAG
rnacentral:lncRNA from 1 species